rnacentral:rRNA from 1 species
UAGGGAAUCUUCGGCAAUGGGGGGAACCCUGACCGAGCAACGCCGCGUGAGUGAAGAAGGUUUUCGGAUCGUAAAGCUCUGUUGUUAAGGAAGAACGAGUGUGAGAAUGGAAAGUUCAUACUGUGACGGUACUUAACCAGAAAGGGACGGCUAACUACGUGCCAGCAGCCGCGGUAAUACGUAGGUCCCGAGCGUUGUCCGGAUUUAUUGGGCGUAAAGCGAGCGCAGGCGGUUAGAUAAGUCUGAAGUUAAAGGCAGUGGCUCAACCAUUGUAGGCUUUGGAAACUGUUUAACUUGAGUGCAGAAGGGGAGAGUGGAAUUCCAUGUGUAGCGGUGAAAUGCGUAGAUAUAUGGAGGAACACCGGUGGCGAAAGCGGCUCUCUGGUCUGUAACUGACGCUGAGGCUCGAAAGGGUGGGGAGCGAACAGG